rnacentral:rRNA from 1 species
CCCUUAGAUGUCCUGGGCCGCACGCGUGCUACACUGACGCAUACAGCGAGCACUUUCCAGUUCCGAGAGGCUACUGGUAAUCAUCAAUAUGCGUCGUGAUGGGGAUAGAUCUUUGGAAUUCUGGAUCUUGAACGAGGAAUGCCUAGUAAUCGCAGGUCAUUAGCCUGCGAUGAUUAAGUCCCUGCCCUUUGUACACACCGCCCGUCGCUACUACCGAUUUCGAGUGGUCAGGUGAAUCUUUCGGACUGUGGGCGCCCUUGAGGUGUUCGUGGAAAGUCAGGUAAAUCUUAUCACUUAGAGGAAGUAAAAGUCGUAACA